AUGUAUGGGGGUAGUUCCACCGUGCAGCUAGAGAGCUUGCAAACUCCGUACACAACAAUGUCUUCGAGCGCAUCCGCGACCGCGAGCAUACCUUGGGGCGCUUCCUCGAGUGCAUCUGCGAGCACACCUUCGGGCGCUUCCUCGAGUGCAUCUUCGAGCACACCUUCGGGCGCUUCCUCAAGUGCAUCUUCAAGUUAUUUCUUUCAUGAUCACGUCUCAUCAGUUUGUGCUGCUCAUCACGGUGGUGCUAACACUCCCACACCCGAAGAAGAAGAGCACAAGAAGAUCCUGGAGCAGCUGAUGGUGUUCACAGUGGUGCUAAUGACCAUCCUCGGCGCUUCCCUCUUCAUCAUCGGACUCCGGCGCCUAAUCCAUGGCCGGUACACCCUGCAUCCCAUCGUGCGUGUCCUGUUGCACUCUACCCUUGUCCUGUUCCUCCCCCUCUUGUCCUAUGUCUUCUCGCACACCAAGGGGGGGCAGCAUGAGCUUCUCCUCAUGGUCCUCUGGAUGCUACUCAUAGAGCUCAUCCGCAAGAAGGUGCAAGCAAUGGUGCAACCAACUGAUGGCUCCUCCUUCUCGAGGGGCAUUGGUCGGUUCACGUUGAUGGAUUACUCUGAUGAACUGGCUCGCUUAGUGUGGAUUGGAUAUCUUAUAUACUCCCACUUAUCGGUAGGGGAAGGCAAGCUAUUGGACACCAUGUUUGUUGUCCUUUGGUCACUAGGACUAGUGAAACUAGGCCAGAGGGUGUUAAAUACCUGGAUGGCCCAGGAUUCUUUUGCUGCAGCCAAGAACGCUCACCUUAUUGCAGGAUACAUGCAACAUGUCAUGCUGCAUGAUCAGGCGAAGAAUACUGGAGAGGGUGCUGCUAGUGAGUUCCACUCCAAAACUGCAGCUGUCAUCAUGGGCACAUGCAUGUAUACGGUGAUGGGGGAGGAGAAGCUUGUUCUCACAAAAAAGGAAAGGAAAGAUAAAGGUGGUGGAGAUACCCCCGCAAAAACAAAAGGUGGAGGAGAUGCAGGCACAGUCACAGAGCCAAGGAUAUUCACUACCCCAAGCGGCUACAAUGUGGGAUACUUCCCUCAUGAACAUCAUAUUAAUCACGACCUUCUCUCCAUUGACCUCAAGAAGGUCAAGUGCUUGGUUACCGUGUCCACGAUCUGGGACCUAGCCAGAAAGGACAAGGUGCUCUUCUCAAAAGAUGCAAGGCGUCGGAGCCUCAAGAAUCUGUGCCUUUCAUAUGCUCUUUUCAAAUUGCUGCGUCGCCGGUUCGAGCAUUACCCUAUGGUGGAGGUUGGCUCAACCAUGGCGCGUGAGCUAAUGCUUGAGGGACUACUUACUCUCGACGACUGUCUCGAGAGCAGCCAUGAUGAACUCUCUAAUAUCCUUGAAAAAGAAAAAGAAGAGGAAGAAGGCCUUAAUAUCCAUCUCAAGAGCAGGAGCAGCCAUGACCAGCUCCCUAAUAAUAUCCCUGAAAAAGAAAAAGAAAAAGAAAAGGAAAAAGAAAAAGAACUACUUAAGCUUAAUGCCAAGAGGGCUUUUCAAGUUCUUCAGCUUGAGCUCAAUUUCCUUGAAAACUACUACCAAGCAGUCGUCCCUGUGGUGAUGUCUAAUCCAUUUCUUUUUGUUGGCAACUUCCUCUUGUCUCUUCUCUUUGUUGCCAUAUACCUCCUUGCCGUUGUGGCGAUGAGCCAAAACUUUGAUGAUAUAUAUUGCACAAAUCUUGGCCAACGACGACUCUCAACCCGAGAUCAGCUUAUCACCAUCUCUCUUGGGAUCAUCCUCCUUACCAUUGAAAUUAUCGAGUUCCUCUCCCUCUACUUGUUCUCCAAUUGGCUCCUGGUGCGCCUGCUGUGCUUCUACGUGCGAGCUGCAAAUCGAUGGAACAAGUGGCUUGCUCACUGGAUCAUUGUAGCCGCCAUGUGGGUUAAAAGACGUGCCUUGAGGGAUGGGGAUGCCUGCAUCAAGAUCCAGCAGGUGUCCAUUCUUCAACUUUGUGGUACUAUUGACACGUUGUGGGCACUGACUUCACAAGCACUUGCUGCCCGAGUUGUUGGGCCACAGCGGUCUGUGACGGUGAGCAUGGAAGCUAAGGUUGCCAUUGUGAAGGCCUUGAACGGCGCCGUCGACCCAAGAAAUACCGGAAGCAUUAGCUGCCCAUAUGUUAAUGGCGUUGUCGAGUGUGGCAGUAUUACCGAGACCAUCCUGGCAUGGCACCUUGCCACUGAUCUCCUUGUGUUUGAGCUUGAGAAUAAUGUAGGAGUAUCAGAUGACCAGAAGGUGGCGACUAUGCUGGCACGAUACUGCAUGUACUUGGUAGCAAACAUGCCUGAGCUGCUGGUAGAUGACCAGGCAUGGGCUGCAGAUAUAUACCAAGAUAUGAAGGACUACAUGGAAAAGUUGCCGCCGCAGUGUUGUGUUAUGACAGGAAACACAUCAAGGCGGCGACGCAUGGCGUUGAUGAUGGCCAAGAAUGCGGGAGACAUAGAAGAAAAGACGACAAAGCUGGGCAUGGAGGUGUUUGAUGGGCUCCUCAAUAAGCGAACCCAAGAAGGAGAUGCUGCAGUGUGGAAGAGUCUAGCUGAUUUCUGGACAAAACUGCUCAUCUUCAUGGCCCCAUCCGAGAACGUUCAAGGCCAUGCCAAGACAUUGGCCACCUCUGGUGGUGAGCUUAUCACCUACCUUUGGGCCUUCUGCACUCAUGCAGGCAUUUCUCGUCAGCAGGAGGAGCUCCGGGGCCAGCAGGUGUAG
rnacentral:rRNA from 1 species